AUGCACGCUGGCGGCGUGCCUAAUACAUGCAAGUCGAGCGAACAGACGAGGAGCUUGCUCCUCUGACGUUAGCGGCGGACGGGUGAGUAACACGUGGAUAACCUACCUAUAAGACUGGGAUAACUUCGGGAAACCGGAGCUAAUACCGGAUAAUAUAUUGAACCGCAUGGUUCAAUAGUGAAAGACGGUUUUGCUGUCACUUAUAGAUGGAUCCGCGCCGCAUUAGCUAGUUGGUAAGGUAACGGCUUACCAAGGCAACGAUGCGUAGCCGACCUGAGAGGGUGAUCGGCCACACUGGAACUGAGACACGGUCCAGACUCCUACGGGAGGCAGCAGUAGGGAAUCUUCCGCAAUGGGCGAAAGCCUGACGGAGCAACGCCGCGUGAGUGAUGAUGGUCUUCGGAUCGUAAAACUCUGUUAUUAGGGAAGAACAAAUGUGUAAGUAACUAUGCACGUCUUGACGGUACCUAAUCAGAAAGCCACGGCUAACUACGUG
rnacentral:rRNA from 1 species